AUUGAACGCUGGCGGCAUGCUUUACACAUGCAAGUCGAACGGCAGAGCGGGCUUCGGCCUGGCGGCGAGCGGCGAACGGGUGAGUAAUGCCUCGGAACGUGCCCAGUAGUGGGGGAUAACGCGGCGAAAGCCGGAUUAAUACCGCAUACGACCUGAGGGUGAAAGCGGGGGACCGUAGGGCCUCGCGCUAUCGGAGCGGCCGAUGUCGGAUUAGCUAGUUGGUGGGGUAAAGGCCUACCAAGGCGACGAUCCGUAGCUGGUCUGAGAGGACGACCAGCCACACUGGAACUGAGACACGGCCCAGACUCCUACGGGAGGCAGCAGUGGGGAAUUUUGGACAAUGGGGGCAACCCUGAUCCAGCCAUGCCGCGUGCGUGAAGAAGGCCUUCGGAUUGUAAACCGCUUUUGGUCGGGAAGAAAUGCUCUGAGCUAAUACCCCGCUGUUAUGACGUUACCAGAAGAAUAAGCACCGGCUAACUACGUG
rnacentral:rRNA from 1 species